rnacentral:pre_miRNA from 1 species
UCUAGAACUCGAGAUAUGGGCUGAACAUUGAACAAUGUCUGGGCUUCAGGACAGAUUCCAACUUCUCUUUUGUUGCUACAAUUUGACUUGAAAACGGCCAUUUUGAAACUUGGACUCUUAUGAAAGUUUUAGGCCUAUAUCUUAGCUUUCCAUA